rnacentral:rRNA from 1 species
CCAAUAGCAUAUAUUAAAGUUGUUGCGGUUAAAACGCCCGUAGUUGGAUCAGCGGAUUUGGAGAACGGUCUGCCGAUGGGCUGUACUGUUCUCCUGUCCUAUCUUCUCUAGUUCACUCUAGGUGCUCUUCACUGAGUGUCUAGAGUGGCUGGAACUUUUACUUUGAAAAAAUUAGAGUGCUCAAAGCAGGCGUAUCAGCCUGAAUAGUGGUGCAUGGAAUAAUGGAAUAGGACCUCAGUUCUAUUUUGUUGGUUUUCGGAGCAUGAGGUAAUGAUUAAGAGGGACAGACGGGGGCAUUCGUAUUGCGACGUUAGAGGUGAAAUUCUUGGAUCGUCGCAAGACGAACUACUGCGAAAGCAUUUGCCAAGAAUGUUUUCAUUAAUCAAGGACGAUAGUUAGAGGUUCGAAGGCGAUCAGAUACCGCCCUAGUUCUAACCGUAAACGAUGUCAACCAGCGAUCCGCAGGAGUUAUUCAUGACUCUGCGGGCAGCUUCCGGGAAACCAAAGUUUUUGGAUUCCGGGGGGAGUAUGGUUGCAAAGCUGAAACUUAAAGGAAUUGACGGAAGGGCACCACCAGGAGUGGAGCCUGCGGCUUAAUUUGACUCAACGCGGGGAAACUCACCCGGCCCGGACACCGUAAGGAUUGACAGAUUGAGAGCUCUUUCUUGAUUCGUUGGGUGGUGGUGCAUGGC